UACAGAGGGUGCAAGCGUUAAUCGGAAUUACUGGGCGUAAAGCGCGCGUAGGCCGUCGUGUAAGUCAGAUGUGAAAUCCCAGGGCUUAACCUGGGAAUUGCAUUCGAUACUGCUUGACUAGAAUGUGGAAGAGGGAAGCGGAAUUUCCGGUGUAGCGGUGAAAUGCGUAGAUAUCGGAAAGAACACCAGUGGCGAAGGCGGCUUGCUGGUCCAACACUGACGCUGAGGCGCGAAAGCGUGGGGAGCAAACAGG
rnacentral:rRNA from 1 species